rnacentral:rRNA from 1 species
GUUGUAUUAUUAGUUAAUGCAAGAUCGACUACGUCGACUAAAGUUCUAGGUAGAAUAAUGAUGAUGACAAUUUUUUACCUAUAUGUCUUGACCAAGUCUCGUGCCAGCAGUCGCGGUAAUACGUGGAAGACUAGUGUUAUUCAUCUUUAUUAGGUUUAAAGGGUACCUAGACGGUAUUUCUAGCCCAAAAUAGGGUACGGAUUUACUAGAGUUUUAUGUGAGGAGGGGAGUACUCGUGGAGUAGAGAUGAAAUUUUGUUAUACUAUGAGGUAACUGGUGGCGGCGAAAGCAACCUUCUAUGUAUAAACUGACGUUGAGGGACGAAGGCUUGGGUAGCAAAUAGGAUUAGAUACCCUAGUAGUCCAAGCAGACAAUUCUGAAUGCCAUAGAUUAGAUUAUUUUUGGUCUAUAAAUGAAAGUGUAAGCAUUCCACCUUAGGAGUAAUGUGGCAACACAGGAACUGAAAUCAUUAGACCGUUUCUGAAACCAGUAGUGAAGUAUGUUAUUUAAUUUGAUGGUCCACAAAAAACCUUACCACAACUUGAAUAUUUUUUAAUUAAUACAAGCGUUGCACGGCUGUCUUCAGUUAAUGUCGUGAGAUUUUGGUUAACUCCAUUAAUUAACGUAAACCCUUACUUUAUUUA